AUAGAUGGACGGAUAUUUUAAAUAUCCACGGGAAGUUUAUUCCAUAACUGUGCAGCACAGAAUGCAAAUGAAUGACCCAUAAAAUGAGUUUUAUAGCUGGUAAACUUUAGUACCUUGGACUAGUUUAAGCAAGACGUCUAAGUCUGGAAGGAGAAGGUAACAAUUGGAACCGGGAACGAAGAAAUUCAACAGUCAGUCAUGAAAUCACAUCAUUCACGUUUGAUGUUUAUAGUUACUGCCAGAGCUAUGUCACUUUGUAUAAAAUACCGCUAGUAUUUAACUAUGCAACCAGUAUAUUAAAUUUUAAAAAUUAAUUUUAAACUAUGCACUCUCGCAAUCAUGAUCUUGUCCAAAGAUAGUACAUAGAUCUUCAGAACAUAUUUAGAAACCUGGAUUGGGGUUGUUAUGGAAUAAAUAUCAAAGGACUUAAUGACCAAUAGUUUGAAUAUGUAGGAGAGAAUACAUACCUGGGAUAAAUUAUCUCAUCUAAAUAAUAAAUGUCUAAGGAGACACAAUAAAGAAUAAAUAACAGUUGGUCUCAUUAUUGGCCACUAAAAGAAAUAAUGCAAAGUAAGUCAGUACCAAUAUCUGACAAGAAAAAAGGUUAUAAUAUUUGCAUUUUGCUGGUGCAAACAUACGGCUGCCAAACAUGAGUUUUGUUAUUUAUACCUAUGUAUAAUGUAAAAAGAAUUUAUAAUUCAAGAAUAAAGGUUAUUUUUAUUUAUUUAUUUUUAUACUGUAUAAACAUUGUUUUAUAAGUUUGUAUAUGUUAUUAUACAUAUAUACUAUGUAUUGCCGUGUGGUCCGUAAUAUAGGAAAUUAAUAGUAGCACUCACCAGUAUUAAGCAACGCCGGGAUCAAGAUCAGUAUUAAGGAAGACUAAGACCAAAAUUUUGGUUUACCUACACAAGUUAAUAUUAGUCAGUUAGAAAGUUCACUCAAUAUUCAUAGCAUCUAAGACAAAAGUGUAAUCAGUAAUUUUUAUAUGUCGCCUGCCAUUGAACCAUUCUAAGUUCUAUAAAAAAAAAAAAAAA